CUGGGAGGAAUACUUCAGGGUGUCUUCAGACCAUCGGAGGGAGCGAUCUAAGCAGAUGGAGAGGAAAGGUUCUAGAGGGUCUCUUUGAAGCUCUCUGGUGUCCGUGGAGAAGAGAUCUGAGCUGCCUUCAGGAGUUGUGACCAGAAAAGUCUCAAAGCACCGAAGAACUCGAUCAGAGUGAAAGUAGCAGUUCCUCCUGAAGGUCAGAGAUUGCAGCAUCUGAGGGCCUCUUCAAAAGAAGACGUAGUUGAUGAAGGCGUUCUGGAGCAGGACCAGAAAAACCACGACCAAGCAGCCUUGAGAUCUUAGACAGCGUCUCCCUCAGGUCCCUCUCUAUCUCCCCACACAUCCACCAACCACUGGAACACAUCUCCAAAGUUCUGCUGGACCAGCUCAGCUUCCCCUCAGAAGAAGUGCUGCCACCUGCCAGAUGAAGGAGCCUUUUGAGAGGCAGCUGGCAUCGUGAUUGGACUGUACUUUGGUCUGUUCCAAUCCAGCUUCAGCUUCCAGAGACGGCAGGUGGGACGAGUCAACGGAGGCCUGGUGGACGAAGACAUGCAGCUGAGUACAAUCCAGAAAACAACAGAGGAGGAGGAAACAAACGUAGUAGUAUAGUAGAAAAUAUACAUCGUAGAUUGUACAAAUAACAAGUCAAAGGAAAGAGACAUACACUGUAGAAUUGUAGUAAUU
ensembl:lncRNA